rnacentral:rRNA from 1 species
AGACGAACGCUGGCGGCGUGCCUAACACAUGCAAGUCGAGCGGGGACAUGCGACGGAUAGGAAGUUUCGGAUGGACUUGAAGAUGCAUCGUUCUAGCGGCGGACGGUGAGUAACGCGUGAGCAACCUGUCCCUUACAGGGGGAUAACACAGCGAAAGUUGUACUAAUACCGCAUAAGACCACGGGAGGACAUCCUUCAGGGGUCAAAGGAGGAAUCCGGUAAGGGGUGGGCUCGCGUCCGAUUAGAUAGUUGGUGAGGUAACGGCCCACCAAGUCGACGAUCGGUAGCCGACCUGAGAGGGUGAUCGGCCACAUUGGGACUGAGACACGGCCCAAACUCCUACGGGAGGCAGCAGUGGGGAAUAUUGGGCAAUGGGGGGAAACCCUGACCCAGCAACGCCGCGUGAGGGAAGAAGGUUUUCGGAUCGUAAACCUCUGUCCUUGGUGAAGAGGAAGAGACGGUAGCCAAGGAGGAAGCCCCGGCUAACUACGUGCCAGCCGCGGC